rnacentral:rRNA from 1 species
GACAGAGGGUGCAAGCGUUGUUCGGAAUCAUUGGGCGUAAAGGGCGCGUAGGCGGUUUUGUAAGUCGAAUGUGAAAGCCCAGGGCUCAACCUUGGAAGUGCAUCCGAAACUGCGAAACUUGAAUCCUGGAGAGGGUGGUGGAAUUCCCAGUGUAGAGGUGAAAUUCGUAGAUAUUGGGAGGAACACCGGUGGCGAAGGCGACCACCUGGACAGAGAUUGACGCGUGAGGCGCGAGAGCGUGGGGAGCAAACGAGGA